rnacentral:rRNA from 1 species
AUACGGAGGGGGCUAGCGUUGUUCGGAAUUACUGGGCGUAAAGCGUCCGCAGGCGGAUAAUUAAGUUAGAGGUGAAAUCCCAGGGCUCAACCCUGGAACUGCCUUUAAAACUGGUUAUCUAGAGUUAUGGAGAGGUAAGUGGAAUUCCUAGUGUAGAGGUGAAAUUCGUAGAUAUUAGGAGGAACACCAGAGGCGAAGGCGGCUUACUGGACAUAUACUGACGCUGAGGGACGAAAGUGUGGGGAGCGAACGGGAUUAGAAACCCGGGUAGUCC